UCGCCCCUUAACCUAUAUUCCCCCUCUCACGUCGCAUUCCCUCUCUUCUCACCUCGUUCCUUCAAAGCGCAAUCCAUAGCAAGGGUUUCUCUCUCUCUCUCUCUGCAACUCUCGUUAAUCAUCCAUGGCCGACCGCACCGACUCCGAUUCCCGCCACCACCUCUCCGUCACGCCACCCCAGCAGAUCUCCAAAGAUGUUCUAGGGUCUGAAAAUACUAUUCCACUUUCACCACAGUGGCUUCUGCCAAAGUCAGGGGAGAGUAAGCCUGGAAUAGGGGUUCUGGAAAAUCAUUUCAGCCAGCAUCCAGCUUAUGGCAAUCGCUCAGAUAUUGUGAAGUCAUCUGGAAAUGGAGAUGAGAUCCAUGAAAUCCAUAAGAAAAAGGAUGUUUUCAGGACUUCCCUGCUUGAUAUGGAAGCUGGUCGUCGUGACCGCUGGCGUGAUGAAGAAAGGGACACUAAUUCCUCCAUGCGCAAAGAUCGUUGGAGGGAUGGAGACAAAGACCUUGGUGACAAUCGCAGGACAGACCGUUGGGUAGAAAAUUCAUCCUCUAGACACAUUGGAGAAGUGCGUCGUGUUUCGUCUGAGCGGUGGUCUGACUCAAGUAACAGGGACACUAAUUAUGAACAACGGCGCGAGAGCAAAUGGAACACGCGCUGGGGGCCAGAUGAUAAGGAAACUGAAGGCGUGCGCGAGAAGUGGACCGACUCUGGCAGAGAUGGUGAUGUGCAUCUUGAUAAGGGGUUGUCUCAUGUUGCCAAUCAAGGAAAGGAUGAGAGGGAGGGGGAUCAUUAUCGGCCAUGGAGACCUAGCUCCCUGCAAAGCCGAGGACGGGGAGAGCCUCAUCACCAAACUGUAAUGUCAGGCAAACAAGUUUCGACAUUUUCUUAUGGCCGUGGGCGUGGGGAAACUACACCUCCAACCUUUUCUCUAGGACGUGGACGGGUAAGCUAUGGUGGCGGCUCUUUGAGCAUGCAUUCUCUAGGAAGUGGGGGAGAUAGGGUUGAGAGUGGCCAUGGGGAGCCUUACCAUUUAAGAUAUAGUAGGACAAAGUUGCUUGAGGUAUACCGAUUGACUGAUACGAGUUCUUGUGAAAAAUUGGUUGAUGGGUUUUUGCAAGUUCAUUCUCUUACACAAGAUCAAUCAUUAGAGCCCUUGGCACUAUGGGCUCCAACUUCCGAAGAAACGGCUGUUAUGAAGGGAAUUGACAAAGGGGAUAUAGUAAGUAGUGGUGCACCACAGAUAUCUAAAGACGGAAGGACCUCAACAGAUGUUACACAGUCGAGGCGAACCAAGCCUGGCUCUAAGGAAAAUUUUCCGAAUGCUUUGGAUGAUUAUAAGGAGGAAAGUGCUGACAAUUCAAGAGGUGGUUCUGAGAAUAUUUCAGAAGGCCCUUCCUAUGAGAGGCACACACUCUAUCACGUGUCCAACUCGAAAACGGAAAUUUUGAGGGAUCAUAAGUCAUUCUCAGAUAACAAGUUUAGAGCCGAAGCUUCCAGAGAGUACGAUUCUUUUAGCAAGACUGAAGACGUGCCCAUUAAUAGGGAAUCAAGUCUCCCAGGAAAUCCGUCCAUUGCUGCCACUGCAUGGCAAUUUCCUUCCCAGGGAGAACGUUCACAUAACGUGUUGCAUGAUGGAAGGUCAAGGUCCUCGGAACUGGGCUGGUCAGAUCCACCGAAGGAACUAAAUAAUGAGCGGGAACGUAAAUUGGCUAACCUAUCAGAAAACAAAGACAAGAGUAAGUGGCAAACCAUUGAGGAUCCCAUUCUUCAGAGGCAACCAUCUGGAGUUAUGGAGAUGGAACAGGAAACCAGGAAAUCUCCACAGCCUUCUCCAGAGGACUUAACGAUGUUCUAUAAAGAUCCACAAGGAAGAAUUCAAGGCCCUUUUAUUGGGAGUGACAUUAUUUCAUGGUUUGAGGGUGGAUAUUUUGGCUUAGAUUUGCCAGUCUGCCCAAGUCCAAAUGACAUGCCUUGGUUGCCACUUGGUGAUGUUAUGCCCCAUUUACGAGCUAAAGCUGGGCCUCCACCUGGAUUUAAUUUACCAAAACAGAAUGAAUUUGCAGAUGCAUCUGGCCGGCCUAAUUUCGGUGGCUUUGGGAAGCUUCAAACUGGCUUAACCGAGCUUGAUGUUCUAAGGAGCGAACCCAGGCAGAGACAUGGUUCAAUGACAGAAGCCGAGAAUAGAUUUUUGGAGUCACUGAUGUCUGGUAAUAAUAUGAGCAGUUCAACACUGGAGAAGCUUGCUUCUUCUGAAGGUAUGCAAGGAUAUAUUGGAAGUAAUUCUAGUGUGAUGCCCCCGUCAGGAGUAGAUAGUGGAAACAACCUUUACCUACUGGCGAAGAGAAUGGCCCUUGAACAGCAGAGGUCCUUAUCCAAUCCUUAUCCAUAUUGGCCUGGAAGAGAUGCUGCAUCGUUGGUUUCAAAGUCUGAUAUUGUACCAGAUUCCACAGCUCCACAGUCAAAGCUUCUAUCUUCAAUAAAUGACAAUCCUUGUCAACCUCUUCAUUCUCAAAAUGCUGACUUCUUGUCCCUCCAAGGAAUAUCUGACAGGUCAACCUCUGGUGUAAAUAAUGGUCUUCCUGGUUGGUCAAACUUUCAAAUCCAAAGUGGAACAGAUCCACUUCAGAACAAGAUUGAUUUCCAUCAUGAUCCUAAUUUCCCUUCCCAAGCCCCAUUUGGGAUCCAACAACAGUGGCUGCAAUCACAAAACCAACCGCCUUUGACAAAUCCUGUUGCUCAAGCUAUAGAUAAUCCAUCUAGCAUUUUUACACCUGAAAAGUUAAUGUCAUCUGGCUUAGCACAAGAUCCACAAUUAUUAGAUAUGCUACAACAACAGUAUUUGUUGCAGUUACAUUCGCAGGCAGUUCAAACACAGCAGAUGUCAAUGUUUGAUAAACUCUUGUUGCUUAAGCAGCAACAGAAACAGGAGGAGCAGCAACAGUUAUUAAGGCAACAACAGCUGCUUUCUCAAAGGCUGUCAGAGCAUCAACCUCACCAGCGAUUUGGUGAUCCAUCUUUUGGACAGAUACAGGCAGCUGCAAUACCGUCAGGGAAUGCAUCUAUAGAUCCUCCUCGGCUUCAGCCCUCACAUGAGCUGUUUCAGAUUGGUUCACAGGUUCCAAUUCCCAUUAUGCAAGAUCAGCAUAAUACAAACUUUGUGAAAUUGCCCCCACAAGUUAACCAGGAUGUCAAUUAUAGUGUAUGUUCUGAAGCCUCUUUGUUGCAUCUGCCUCAACAAUUAUUUGGGAACAUCGCCCAUAAGGAAACUUGGGGUGCUACCGUUCCAGAAGAAACUGGCGAUACCCAUCAGAAAGAAUCAUCCCUGACACCAUCUUUUGCUGAAAACUCCCAUUUCGAGAUGAUGAACAGAGCUGUGGAGCUGCCUCAGCGUUUGCAGAAACCUGUCUCUGAUUCUGAAUUACAUUCUCCUAGAGAUGUGGAGCAGACAUCAGACAACAGUUUGAGGGCUGAUAGAACUGUUGUGGUUGCGACUGCUGAAAGUACUUUGGAAUCUAUGUCCAUUCCUGUUGAUUUGUUAUCAUUAGGAACAUGUAACAGUAAAGUGCCUGUGCCUGAGCAUUCCAGUGAUGUAAAGGCUCAACCUUGUGUUUUGCUCGAAGAACAGCAAGUUGAAAGCAAAAGGGGCACCAUUGAGCCCUCCAUGGUGACAGAAGUUAAGAACGUUGAAGUACAUGAACAAAGAAAAGCUUCUGAGAAGAAGCCCAAGAAGCAAAAAUCUUCUAAAUCACACACCUCUUCUGACCAGGCAAAAGAAGUACCUAAGGAUUCAUCUUUGCUGCAAUUAAAGAAAUCUGUAAUUGAAAAGCAGAGCAUUGAGACAGAUGUCAGUUCUGGAGAUGCACGAUAUGGAACCUCUUUGCAGAAGACAAGAGAUAACAGAGGCCAUAAAUCUGGAAUUACUACUACGGAACAUGUGGAGUCCCAACAGGUUCAAAGCUUUGUAUCUGCAAUAGCUUCAUCAGAUGACAUUGAAACUGUUGAAGUCAAGAGUGACUUGGGAGUACUUGGGUCAGUCUCAAUGCAGAAUAGCCAAACACAUACUGGACAACGAGCUUGGAAACCUGCUCCUGGUUUGAAGCCCAAGUCAUUGUUGGAAAUUCAACAGGAAGAACAAAGGAAGUCACAGACAGGAAUGGUGGUAUCUGAGAUCACCAGCUCUGUCAACUCCAUGAGUUUGUCAACUCCUUGGGCGGGAGUUGUGGCCAAUCCUGACUCAAAAAUAUCUAGGGAAACUCACAGAGAUGCAGGAAAUACUGAGUUAAGUCUAGGGAAACCUGUAGCUUCUGUGAUUCCAAAGAGCGAGAAGAGCCAUUUACAUGACCUAUUGGCAGAAGAAGUUUUGGAGAAGUCUAAUGAACGAGAUGGUGAUGUCCCUGACAGUAUAUCUAUUAGGGCAAACCCACAAGUUAUGACCACCCAUUCAGAAUCUAUAGAUGAUGAUAACUUUAUUGAGGCUAAAGACACAAAAAAGAGUCGAAAAAAAUCAGCAAAAGCCAAGGGUGCUGGAGCUAAGGUCUUGAUAUCCGUUACUUCUGCCGAGGCUUCUAUUGGUUUGAGUCCCAUUGAGAAAGGGAAAAGCUCUCGUCCUAUACAGCAAGAGAAGGAAGUGUUGCCUGCAAUUCCAUCUGGGCCUUCUCUUGGAGACUUUGUUCUUUGGAAGGGAGAGUCAGGUAACUCUUCCCCUUCUCCAGCAUGGUCUACUGAAUCAGGGAAGCUUCCGAAACCUACAUCUUUACGGGACAUAUUAAAGGAGCAGGAGAAAAAGGUAUCUGCCCACAAUCCAAACCAGAUUUCAACUCCUCCGAAACCCCAGCCAACUCAGGCUACCCGAACCAGUGGGCCUUCGUGGUCACUUUCUGCAUCUUCUCCUGCCAAGGCUUCAUCUCCAAUCCAGGUCAAUUCUCACCCGUCAAAAUAUAAAGGAGAUGAUGACCUAUUCUGGGGCCCAAUUGAUCAAUCAAAGCAAGAAACUAAGCAGGUGGAUUUCCAAUUCCCUCACCUUGCAAGCCAGGGCACUAGGAUAAUGAAAACCACUCCCGUCAAAGGAACUUCAUCUGGAUCAUUUGGCCGACAAAAAUCAGUUGGUGGCAAAUCUGCUGAGCGAUCUCUUUCAUCUUCACCUGCCUCUGCCCUGAAAGGGAAAAGAGAUUUCAUGACCAAUCAUUCAGAGGCCACAGACUUCAGAGAUUGGUGCCAGAGUGAGUGUCUCAGGCUUCUUGGGACCAAAGAUAUGAGUUUCCUUGAAUUUUGCUCGAAGCAGUCCAGAUCAGAGGCUGAGAUGUUUUUGAUAGAGAACCUUGGAUCAUAUGAUCCCGAUCACGAGUUCAUUGACAAAUUCCUCAACUACAAGGAGUUGUUACCAGCUGAUGUCCUUGAAAUUGCAUUUCAAAGUCGGAACGACAAGGUCACUGGAUUUGGUGCUGUAGAUGUGAAUUCUGGCAAUGCAGUUGCCGGGGACAUUGAUCGAGAUACUGCAGUGGGACCUGAUGGGUCCUCAAAAGGGGCAGGAAAGAAGGGGAAGAAAGGAAAGAAGGUUAGCCCUUCGGUUUUGGGAUUUAAUGUUGUCAGUAACCGGAUCAUGAUGGGUGAGAUUCAGACCCUUGAAGAUUAGGAGAGGUUGUAGAACUAGAGCCAGUUUGUAAAUACAUUUUGGCUUAGUGUUUGUAAAUGGUUCGCUUUAGGACUUUUGUUUCAAUUUCCCCUCUAUAGAGCCUAGCUUAGCUCUGCAGCAGCAGCAGCAGCAGCAGUUGUUCUCUAAUAUUAUCUGGCUCAAGCGUUUUUGUCCCAGCCUGAGUGAGGUGUAAUCUCAUUAUGUCAAGUUCUCCAAAAGAUGAAUCGAGGCCUGUGACACUUUCUCACAUAUGAUCGAUCAUUUAGGUUUUUCAACUUCUGGCUGACCAUCCAUCUUUUUUGGAAGUCGUCAACCAUGGCAGGUAUCCUAUGUUCUAGCUGUGCAUUAAACUGAAAAGCAAUUUUCUUUGGAUCACGUACUUUUGCAAACAGGAGUCUGAAGCAGUCAAGGAGGUUGCCAUAUUUUGUAGAGAUGAGAAAGGUUUCUUGAAACCAAAGUCUUGUCCAAUGACUACUGCUUGGGAAUCCUAAAUUCUUUUUCCAAACAUAAGGAGGUUUUACAGUAGGACCAUCUCAAAUUAUAAAUAAUGCUCAACCUCGUGUGACAAUUUCAUAUGUGACAAUUC